GUGUAUUUAGUCUGUGUCAAUCCUUGUUCUGUGCCAGUUUGUCUCAGUCUGUACCAGUGAGCUUACCAACAAUUUCCUAGUGUGUCGUCGCCGUGCAAUUUGGAUACCGUUGCCUGUCUGAUUACCCGAGUACCGGGAAAAUAAUGUGACCGGAUGAGUGUUUUCCCCUCCCUCUUACCUGCACACAGGGGUGUGGACCAGCAUACCUGGGGCUAAUUCCGAUUGAUUGGGAGAGGCGGGGCCAUUACAUAAGCCUGUGGUGUGUGGACUCGCUUUGUUGUCUUCUCCUGCUGGGUGUCUAUGGAGACGUGUCCGGGAGGCGUGCUUCAUGUUUUGGCCGCUGCCCUAGGUCAUCAUUCUGCUGCGGUGUGUGUGGGCCGCUGUCUGUGUGUGCGAGGUGGGUGCCACUGCCGGGGUCCGUGGGCGGCCUGUACUGUAAUUCGCUGGACCGGGCUGCAGCCUUGGACAUGCUAUUGUGGGGCUAUCCUGGUGCCACGACUAAUUAAAGGGCCAAUAUUCCCCAGAGCGUUCUCCCUCCCCCACUGAACCUGUUCUUGAUACCGGCUGAAACCCAUCUGGUAAAACUUCUGACUACACAAGCAAUCUGGAAACUGGUACAAAAAUGUCUCUCUAUAGUGUAUUAACUGUUGUGUAUGUGUAUAUAUUGCAUGUAGGUCUUUUCCUUUUUUUUAUUUUGUUUGCAUCUUCCUUUUUAUGCAUGCCGGUUUAUUGAUUUGAAUUGUUUUGUUUAUUUUCUUAUCACUGAUCUACUCCUUAACAAAUAACAUAUUGUCAUUUUAAAAUGAAUAUUUAACUAAAUAAAACCGUAUAUUUUUAUAAUUCCCUUAUGGUCUCUGACCCCUGAUUUUGGUGAACGGCUCUGUGUGCCUUAACGUGAAUGGUCUUGGGCC